rnacentral:rRNA from 1 species
UUCGGUCAUAGGAGCGAAAUGGAACCACCUUUUUCCAUUCCGAACAAAGAAGUGAAACAUUUUAGCGCCGACAAUAGUUCCGUCGCAAGAUUGAUUGAAGAUAGGUCGUGGCCGGAA